UUCUUUUUCAAGUGUUCAAGGGGAAAUCUGCCCAUAACUACCCAUUUAUGUCUGUAGAUGAGGUUCUUUGUUCACAAGCAAAGUGCAGGAAAAGGCAAAUCCUGUCCCCAGCAAACAGCCUGUGUAACCAGUCUGACUGGUGGUGGUCAGUAUGAAGAAAUCUUUCCCCAUGCAAUGGGGUGACAACAGAGCACCUGCACAACCAAAACUACAGCCUCGGUACCAAGAUCCAUUGGUCUGGUCUCACCCCGGAAAUUCCCCUGCAUGGUGGAGCACAGUAAGGCCUCACAGAGCAUAUCCCAGUGGUGCACAGGAAGGAUGGAACCCCUUCACUGGGCCCAGAACCCUACUCUCAUUCACUGAAC